rnacentral:rRNA from 1 species
AGUGACGGUACCUGCAGAAGAAGCACCGGCUAACUACGUGCCAGCAGCCGCGGUAAUACGUAGGGUGCAAGCGUUGUCCGGAAUUACUGGGCGUAAAGAGUUCGUAGGCGGUUUGUCGCGUCGUUUGUGAAAACCAGCAGCUCAACUGCUGGCUUGCAGGCGAUACGGGCAGACUUGAGUACUGCGGGGGAGACUGGAAUUCCUGGUGUAGCGGUGAAAUGCGCAGAUAUCAGGAGGAACACCGGUGGCGAAGGCGGGUCUCUGGGCAGUAACUGACGCUGAGGAACGAAAGCGUGGGUAGCGAACAGGAUUAGAUACCCUGGUAGUCCACGCCGUAAACGGUGGGCGCUAGGUGUGGGUUCCUUCCACGGAAUCCGUGCCGUAGCUAACGCAUUAAGCGCCCCGCCUGGGGAGUACGGCCGCAAGGCUA